CGCGAAGAACCUUACCAAAUCUUGACAUCCUUUGACAACUCUAGAGAUAGAGCUUUCCCCUUCGGGGGACAAAGUGACAGGUGGUGCAUGGUUGUCGUCAGCUCGUGUCGUGAGAUGUUGGGUUAAGUCCCGCAACGAGCGCAACCCUUAUCUUUAGUUGCCAUCAUUAGGUUGGGCACUCUAGAGAGACUGCCGGUGACAAACCGGAGGAAGGUGGGGAUGACGUCAAAUCAUCAUGCCCCUUAUGAUUUGGGCUACACACGUGCUACAAUGGAUGGUACAAAGGGCAGCAAAACCGCGAGGUCAAGCAAAUCCCAUAAAACCAUUCUCAGUUCGGAUUGUAGUCUGCAACUCGACUACAUGAAGCUGGAAUCGCUAGUAAUCGUAGAUCAGCAUG
rnacentral:rRNA from 1 species